GUGGCGGACGGGUGAGUAACGCGUGAGAAUCUGCCUUCAGGAGGGGGAUAACGACUGGAAACGGUCGCGAAUACCCCAUAUGCCUCCGGGUGAAAAGUAAUUCGCCUGAAGAUGAGCUCGCGUCAGAUUAGCUAGUUGGUGGGGUAAGAGCCUACCAAGGCGACGAUCUGUAGCUGGUCUGAGAGGAUGAUCAGCCACACUGGGACUGAGACACGGCCCAGACUCCUACGGGAGGCAGCAGUGGGGAAUUUUCCGCAAUGGGCGCAAGCCUGACGGAGCAAGACCGCGUGGGGGAUGACGGCCUAAUGGUUGUAAACCCCUUUUCUCUGGGAAGAAGACUGACGGUACCAGAGGAAUCAGCCUCGGCUAACUCCGUGCCAGCAGCCGCGGUAAUACGGAGGAGGCAAGCGUUAUCCGGAAUUAUUGGGCGUAAAGCGUCCGUAGGUGGUUAUUCAAGUCUGCUGUCAAAGCGUGGGGCUUAACUCCAUAGAGGCAGUGGAAACUGAGUGACUAGAGUGCGGUAGGGGUCGAGGGAAUUCCCAGUGUAGCGGUGAAAUGCGUAGAGAUUGGGAAGAACACCAGUGGCGAAAGCGCUCGACUGGGCCUGCACUGACACUGAGGGACGAAAGCUAGGGGAGCGAAAGGGAUUAGAUACCCCUGUAGUCCUAGCCGUAAACGAUGGAUACUACGUGUUGCUCGUCAUCGACCCGAGCAGUGCC
rnacentral:rRNA from 1 species